UUAUUUAAGAUUUGAUUAGGGUUUGUUUAGGAUUCGAUUAGGAUUUGAUUAGGAUUCAGUUAAGGUUUGACUAGGGCUUGGUUAGGAUUUUAUUAGAGUUUGUUUAAGAUUUGACUAGGAUUUGGUUAAGAUUUGGUUAGGAUUUGUUUAUGGUUUGACUAAGAUUUAUUUAGGGCUUGAGUAGGAUUUAUUUAGGGUUUAACUAGGAUUUAUUUAGAAUUUAUUUAGGAUUUUUUUAGGAUUUGAUUAGGAUUUGAUUAGGAUUUGGUUAGGAUUUAAUUAGGAUUUGACUAGGAUUUGAUUAAGAUUUCUAUUUUAGUAUAUUUUUGAAUUUCUAUGUUAUUUCUUUAUGAUUUCUUUAAAGGGUCUCUAGGAAUUCUUUGUAUUUCUUAUAUAAUUUUUUUAAAAUUUUAAUUGAAUUUAAUUGAUGUUUGAUUAUAU
rnacentral:lncRNA from 1 species